UGCUGGCCUCGGGCCUGCACCGUUCUCUCCACAGAGGUGCUGGGAGGCGUCGCCCCCGCCUUUGGCCUGGAAUGUGCACAUGAUGGUAGGAGCUUGAGCAGCUGUCCUGGACCAUGAGGCAGUCUUGAAGAUGGAAGCCAUCACUAAGAUGGUGUAAUAAAAGUGAUGCAGGGCUGUCAUACACAAGUGCCUGUGACAAGACACUUGGGGAGAAGGUGAAAAAUGCUAAAGUUUGACCUGACGCCUGAGAGCUAAGCCAAGAGUCCUUGGAGAGAGCAGGAAACGGAAUCUUCCCUAGAGCCUCCAGAAAGAGAUGCAGCCUGCCUACACCUUGUUUUCAGCACAGUGAGACCACACCUGACACUUCUGACCUACAAAACCCCAAGCACACAGGGUGUCUUUGUGCAAAUAAUAAAUUUGUAUUGUUUAAAGCCAAUAA